UACGUAGGGCGCAAGCGUUAUCCGGAAUUAUUGGGCGUAAAGAGCUCGUAGGCGGUUUGUCGCGUCUGCCGUGAAAAUCCGGGGCUCAACCCCGGACUUGCGGUGGGUACGGGCAGACUAGAGUGUGGUAGGGGAGACUGGAAUUCCUGGUGUAGCGGUGAAAUGCGCAGAUAUCAGGAGGAACACCGAUGGCGAAGGCAGGUCUCUGGGCCACUACUGACGCUGAGAAGCGAAAGCGUGGGGAGCGAACAGG
rnacentral:rRNA from 1 species